GCAUAUCAAUAAGCGGAGGAAAAGAAACUAACAAGGAUUCCCCUAGUAACGGCGAGUGAAGCGGGAAGAGCUCAAAUUUGAAAUCUGGUAGCCUUCGGUUGCCCGAGUUGUAAUCUAGAGAAGUGUUUUCCGUGCCGGCCCAUGUACAAGUCCCUUGGAACAGGGCGUCAUAGAGGGUGAGAAUCCCGUCCUUGACAUGGACCCCCGGUGCUUUGUGAUACACUUUCAACGAGUCGAGUUGUUUGGGAAUGCAGCUCAAAAUGGGUGGUGAAUUCCAUCUAAAGCUAAAUAUUGGCGAGAGACCGAUAGCGAACAAGUACCGUGAGGGAAAGAUGAAAAGCACUUUGGAAAGAGAGUUAAACAGUACGUGAAAUUGUUGAAAGGGAAACGAUUGAAGUCAGUCAUGCUCUUGGGACUUACCUCCCUUGAGUGGGGUCAACAUCAGUUUUGAUCGAUGGAUAAAGGCACGGGGAAGGUAGCACUCUCGGGUGAACUUAUAGCCUCGCGUCAUAUACAUUGAUUGGGACUGAGGAACGCAGCAUGCCUUAUGGCCGGGAUUCGUCCACGUACAUGCUUAGGAUGUUGACAUAAUGGCUUUAAACCGCCCGUCUUGAAACACGGACC
rnacentral:rRNA from 1 species